GGAAAUUUAGUUCUGAGAGGUCCAUGUAGGACACACAGCUAUUUAAUACAUACUGUAAGAAGACUUUGGGUCCACUUGAUUUUCUCUGCAGGUAUUUGCAGUAAGCUGCUGCCAUAUCUGGCAUCACAAUGCUGUUACACUGUAGGGCAGAGGUGGCCACGGUUGACCCUUCCAACCCUGUUCUAAAUAGUUUAAUUGAACUGUGGCAAAGUGGUUAACAGUGUGCAGGUGCAGGAAUGCUGCAGUGAUCAAUGAACAGACAGACAGCAAUAAUCCAGGUGCAAUGAUUUUUUUAUUUGGGAAUCCAAAGUCUGAUGACAAACGGCAGUAAACAAUAUCAAUGAGAACAAGCAAUACAGCAGCAUGUACUGCUCUGUUGUUGGUCCCAUAAUAAUAACAAUCCCGUUCCUACCCACACGUAACACAAAACACAAAGUCCACAGUGAGUGCUAAAGUGCUUGUGGUGUAAAUAGUUAUUCAUGAAACAAUGUGCAGUGAUGUUUGCUGCAGCAAACCACAACUCAACUGCAACUCUCGCUAAGAUGGCUCUCUUCAUUAACAUAUUUUUUCUUAGUACAUACGACAAAAUGUGCACUUUGUGAACUGUCAUAAAGAAAAUGCAAAUUGUGGUAUGUUUGCACUGCGACUGGUCCAUCUUAGUACAUCUACCCCUUAUUUAAGAGAAAAUAUGUUUCAUUGUCACAUGCAUCUAAUAAAAAGUCCUUAUAUAGGCAAAUAUUAGAACUUAAGUACUAUAUGGUAGUCAAUAUACAUUGAUUAUUUGCACAUUUUAAACACAGCUGUUGUCAGUCUGACUUCUGUUUCUAUCUUAGAAUAAUACCCAACAAAUGACGUAUUAAUAUAAAACACGGUAUCAUCAGCAGUCUUAGCAGAAUAAAAUCAAGUGCACUUUCACUAAUGCAGGUCCCAAAAGCCCAUUUGAACUUACAUAUCUCAUACAAAAUCAAACCACACCUCUUCUCUCUCUCCCAAAUUAAACUCCAGUGUUAUUAUUGCUAAUCUUGGUGCCAGUGUUUGUAACAGCUGCAGGUUGUGAAUCAGCCAAACCUGAGACAAAACAUUCCAGUAAGCCUUCCAAUAAGAAAACCAAGUGAAGAUGGUCUUACUUAUCAUUAACGCCUGCAGCUAUGUGGUGAGGAAGAUCAGAGCUGCCCUCACCAGUGCUGACCAGCCAGUGAAGCCUUCCAAAGCAUCAUGUAGCCAGGCCAAAGAGCGAAAGGCAGUCGUGGAGCAGUAUAAACAAGAGCCAGUCCUGAGCAGCAAACCUCCCUGUGAGAGAGCUGUUCAGAAAUGCGGCUUCUGAGGUUAAAGGUCACAUUGUCCAUGGAGGAAGGAGGGACAAUGAUACCAGAAAAUGAGUCAUGUCAGCAAGCUCAGCAAAUUCAUCCCGCCAAUUAAAAAAAAAAAAAAGUUAAUUAUAUCAUAGCUUUGUCACCUUUACAUAAUAUAGAUUUACAAAAUCUGCAUUUUAUUUAUAGAAAUAUACCAGCCAGACCCCCUUUCCCCUCUCCUCAACCAAUGCCUCCUUCCCUUCCUCUCUCCUGCUUAGUGUAAAACCUCUUAAUUAAAAAGCUGACUAUCUCUGCCCAGCAAGUGAAUGAAGACUUGGUCAUAAACUCUAUGCAUAUGGGAGGUGACCAGGUCUGAAGAAAUUGUUUUUGCUGUUUGUAUACCUUUCAAUAAAGUCUAUCCCAGAAACUG